CAUCUUCUUAUAAUUGAGAACAUUAAGAAUACCAUUUUUUGUAAUUGCUUUUCAAGAUGUUUCUUUUUGUUUUGAUCUUCACUCUGCUCCAGCGCUUUGCUAAUAUCUUUCUUAAUAUCUUUCCAGUGAACAUCAAACUUGGUCAAGGCUUUUUCCUCCCCUAAGAAUGCCUUCUCAAAGUCGUCACGCAGGUGAUGAAUAUCUUGCCGCCAUCUUGCUAUUUUGACAACAUAAUAAAAUGGAAAAUAAAGGAAAAUACUAGAAGAAAAUAAAACUGAAUGCAGUAAAACCAAAUUUAAAGAUCAUUCUUUGAUUAGGAAAAGCAAUUUGGGAAUCCACCACGAUUCUUUCAUAAAUGUUUUCUCAACAACCAAACAAUGUAUUUCAUUUUGUUAACAUCGCAUACAGGCAAAAUCAUCAAUAUGCAAACCAGAAUGUCCUCAGAAAAUCUUCUGUUGGCUGCCCAGAAAAACAAAACCCCAACUUUGCCCACUUACAGAAGUAAUUUGAAUCACAAGCUCAAAUAGCCGUUUUGAGAAAGCAGCAGCAAAACCCACUUCCAAGACAAUUGAUUUUGUGUAAGAAACGUAUUGUUGCUUACCGUUUAGAUCUUAGAAUUAGUUAAGACAAAACUCAAACUCACCAAUAUCCAUUUCUUCUGAAGUGCUGCAAAGAGAGACAAAAAUAAUAAUAUCAAAAUUAAACCCCGUCUCCAAAACAAGUGAACAAGGAAAUAAGGAACCCAGACAUACAGGACUGAGAGCACUACCGCUAAUCUCUUAUUUUUCUGACAUUUUCUCAGCCAAACAAUAGAUUUCAUUUUUGAACAAUAAGAAACCAUACAAGAUCGUCAUACAGAAACAUGUAAGCGAACCAGAAUCUCUUUGCUACCUUCUCCCUUUUCUUUCUUUGCACUCACCUUUUCUUGUCUUGGAACACUUCUCUUUUAUUUCUUUG
rnacentral:lncRNA from 1 species